UUGGCAUCUUAAAAAUCCUAGCAGGUGCUUUAAAUCCUAAUUUACAAGCUCCAGAGUACCAUUUUCUUUAUAUCUCAAGAAUCCAAACUUCAAAUGCUAUUAAAUUUAUAUUUAAAUUUUAUUAAUAUAAUAAUACAUAUUCUUAGAAUGUUCCAGCCAAAAUCUUAUCAAAUUACUCAAGAUACAGCUUAAAACAAAACCACUAGUAAAUCAGGUCACAUAUUGCAAUUAAAUUAUAAGCACUGACUUCAACUUCCUAUAACUCCUUCAUCCUAGCUUAAAAUUCAUCAAGCAAUCUACAAAAAGUAUAGCCAAAAAAGUGCUAUCUCCAACUCAAGUCAUUGAACUUUCAUUACUUUCCAUACGCAUGCAUUAUGUCCAAAAGAUUGACAGUAGAUACAAAACCAUCACCAUAACUUUGAGCGCCUAUACCUC
rnacentral:lncRNA from 1 species